GCGCAGGUGGCGGAAUUGGUAGACGCGCUACUUUGAGGGGGUAGUCCACGUAUGUGGGUGAGAGUUCGACUCUCUUCCUGCGCA
rnacentral:tRNA from 1 species